AAACCAACAGGGAUUGCCUCAGUGACAGGCGGUGAAGCGGCAAAAGCUCGAAUUUGAAAUCUGGUACCUUCGGUGCCCGAGUUGUAAUUUGAAGAUAGUUUCUGGUGCUCUUUACUUGUCAUGUUCCUUGGAACAGGACUUCACAGAGGGUGAGAAUCCCGUCCUGGCGAUGCAGUGCUAUGUAGAUUUCUAUCGACGAGUCCCGAGUUGUUUGGGAAUGCAGCUGGCAUCCAUCCAAUUCCAUCUAAAGCUAAAUAUUGGCGAGAGACCGAUAGCGAACACAUACAGUGAUGGAAAGAUGAAAGAACUUUGAAAACAGAGUGAAGACAGUACGUGAAAUUGUUGAAAGGGAAGCGUACCCUAAUCAACUUGGUGUUUUGUGAUUAUUUCCCUUCUUAAUUGUGCACUCGCAUUUCACUGGGCCAGCAUCGGUUCCUAUGGCAAGAUAAUGACAUUGGAACGUGGCACCUUCUUCGGUUGGUGUGUUAGCCUUUGUUGAUGUUGCCUGUCUGGACCGAGGACUGCGGCUUUUGCCUAGGAUGCUCUCCGGUAAUGAUCCAAUACCGCCCGUUGAAACACGGACCAAGGAGUCUAACGUCUAUGCGAGUGUUUGGGUGUAAAACCCGUACGCGUAAUGAAAGGUGAACGUAGGUGAGCCCGUUAAAAAGGUGCAUCAUCGACCGAUCCUGAUGUCUUCGGAUGGAUUUGUGGGUAAGAGCAGCUAGUCAAGCGGAAAGAUAGUGAACUAUGCCUGAAUAGGGGGCAGCCAGAGGAAACUGGAGGCUCGUAGCGGUUCUGACGUGCAAAUCGAUCGUCGAAUUUGGGUAUAGGGGCGAACGGAUCGAACCAUCUAGUAGCUGGUUCCUGCCGAAGUUUCCCUCAGGAUAGCAGAAGCUCGUAUCAGUUUUAUGAGGUAAAGCGAAUGAUUAGAGGUAUUGGGGUUGAAAUGACCUUAACCUAUUCUCAAACUUUAAAUAUGUAAGAAUCAGUCCUUGUUACUUAAUUGAACGUGGACAUUUUGAAUGAAUUUUAUGGUGGGCCAUUUUGUAAGCAGAACUGGCGAUGCGGAUGAACCGAACGUAAAGUUAAGCUCCGAAUACACGCUCAUCAGACACCAAAAUGUCAUUCACUUAGACAGGCCGGACGGGCCGGAAGUUGGAAUCCGCUAAGGAGUGUGUAGACUCACGGCCGAAUGAACUAGCCCUGAAAAUGGAAAUGCUUAUGCCUGCUAAAAUACCUACUUUACCGUCAGGCGCCCUGACGAGAGUAGGCAGGCGGAGGGUCAGUGAUGAAGCCUUUGCAGCGAUGCUGGGUAGAACGGGCCUCUAGUGCAGAUCUUGGUGGUAGCAGCAACAUUCAAAUGAGAUCUUGAAGACCGAAGUGGGGAGGUUCCACGUCAACAGCAGUUGGACGGGGUUAGUCGAUCCCAAGAGAUGGGGAAGCCCUGUUUCAAAGUGUCUGAUUUGUACAAUUAUCGAAAGCGAACUAAAAUCGAACCUGAUAUGGAUUCUUCACGGUAACGUAAACUGAACGUGAGACGUCGGCGUGAGCCCCUGGGGAGGAGCUAUUAUCUUUCUUCAACAACUUUAUCACCCUGGAAUUGGUUUAUCCGGAGAUGGGGUCUUAUGGCUGGAAGAGCGCAACACCUCUGGUGUCCGGUGCGCUUACGACGGCCCUUGAAAAAUCCACAGAAGCGAAAUAGUUUUCAUGCCAGGUCGUACUCAUAACCGGCAGCAGGUCUCCACAGCCUAGUUGAUAGAAUAAUGUGAUAAGGGAAGUCGGCGAUCCGUGGGUCUUCGGGACAAGCGAUUGCCCCUAUGGAUCGGGUGUCUUGGCUUAUUUCAGACGCAGCGGAACUCGUUGAGGACCGCCAGGAAGUUAAAUCUUGGGUGGACUUCUUUGGGAUCUUGCUGUUGACGGUUUAAGCAGGUCUUUUUCUGACCGUCCGCACGCUUAACGAUCAACUUAGGAACUGGUACGGACAAGGGGAAUCUGACUCGUUCACUAAAACAUAGCAUUGCGAUGGUCAGAAAGUGAUGCUGACGCAAUGCGAUUUCGCCCAGUGCUCCACGUCAAAGUGAAGAAAUUCAACUAAGCGCGGGUAAACGGCGGAGGCAAUUAUGACUCUCUUAAGGUAGCCAAAUGCUCGUCAUCUAAUUAGGUGACGCAUGAAUGGAUUAAACGAGAUUCCCACUGUCCCUAUCUACUAUCUA
rnacentral:rRNA from 1 species